CCCAAUACCAUAAAGAAUGGAUCUACAGAGUACAUUUCAAUCUCUCUUUCUCACCUUAUCCACCGUCGCACUCCGACGGCGGCACCUUCGAGAAUUAAAGCCUCACCUUUUCUGAUAACUUUUGCUAACUUCUUUAAAAAAAAAUUGAAUUGAAAAAUUGGUUGCGUCAACCCAAAGGCUGAAUCUCUUUCUUUUUCUUAACUCACCCGUACUCCGACUACAACCACCACCGAUUGCAACUCAUGGGCAGAAGAUUUAUAGGUGCUCGAUUGUUUGAUUCGCCAAGUUUCUCCAAAAGAAGGCGUGGAUGAAUUUGUAAGUGCUGUACAUUCUUUUCUCUACCAGUUUCUUUUCUCUACCAGUUUUUUUUUUUUUUUUUUAAAUUGAUGGAUGCAUUCUUGAAGGUGUUUUAGCAUUCUGUUUAUUCAUACACGGGAAAUGGGUUUAAGCCACUUCUUAGGUUUUUUCUAAAUUUCGUUUGCCCAAUUUCUUCAGUCUCUGUUUAUUUUCUGUGUGCCGUGAAAAUGUAUCGUUAAUGGAUUGCAUCAAUUCAAUUUGUUUUUUUAAAAGUACAGAGUGAUCCCUUACCGCUGUACCAUAUUAAAUUCUAAACAGAUAGACGCUGCAGCAAAUUAUGAAUGCUAUCAGUGAACGUUGCUGCAAAUUGACGAAUGAUAGACUUACCAAUUUUGAGUUGCUAUAAACAAGUUUUUAGGGAAAACAUGUUAACAUUCAAAUUAAUCAAGAUUACAUUACAGGUAACUCCUGUGAAUUUGUAAGACAGACAACAAUAUCA
rnacentral:lncRNA from 1 species